rnacentral:pre_miRNA from 9 species
UCUCGAUAGCGUAAAAGUUAAAUCAAAUUUGUAUACGGAUUUGGAACAUUAGCCUACGUUUGCCGCUAGGGGCGCUGUUCCAACUGCAUACAAAUUUGAGUUACUUUUACGCUUGUAGA